AUUGAACGCUGGCGGCAGGCUUAACACAUGCAAGUCGAGCGGGGUGAUGGUGCUUGCACUAUCACUUAGCGGCGGACGGGUGAGUAAUGCUUAGGAAUCUGCCUAUUAGUGGGGGACAACAUCUCGAAAGGGAUGCUAAUACCGCAUACGUCCUACGGGAGAAAGCAGGGGAUCACUUGUGACCUUGCGCUAAUAGAUGAGCCUAAGUCGGAUUAGCUAGUUGGUGGGGUAAAGGCCUACCAAGGCGACGAUGUGUAGCGGGUCUGAGAGGAUGAUCCGCCACACUGGGAAUGAGACACGGCCCAGACUCCUACGGGAGGCAGCAGUGGGGAAUAUUGGACAAUGGGGGGAACCCUGAUCCAGCCAUGCCGCGUGUGUGAAGAAGGCCUUAUGGUUGUAAAGCACUUUAAGCGAGGAGGAGGCUCUUUUGGUUAAUACCCAGAAUGAGUGGACGUUACUCGCAGAAUAAGCACCGGCUAACUCUGUGCCAGCCGCCGCCGUAA
rnacentral:rRNA from 1 species